CGGCGGCCGAGCUCGGGUGCAUCCUCGGGCCCGCCGCCGCCGCCGCUGCCGCCGGAGCGCGCGGCCAUGGAGCUAGAGGUGCCGGACGAGGCAGAGAGCGCCGAAGCAGGGGCCGUGACAGCGGAGGCGGCCUGGUCUGCGGAGAGUGGGGCGGCGGCAGACCUGGCAGCAGCAGCCUGUUAUCUGCUCUGGUGAUUUCCACCUAUCUGAUGGGAAGGAAACCUAUCUGUGUGGCGUUUAGAAUCCAGUUACGUUUAGUCUUCUUACUCCACGGGCCUGCCCAAAAACCGCCUGUCUCCUGCCUUGCUGCGGCUGCUGGGGCCCUUGCAAUUUGUGGGUGCGUGGUAUGGCUUGGGGACCCUGGGUACUAGGCGACAGGGCUGGUGACCUGCCUGGGCU
rnacentral:lncRNA from 1 species